UACAGUUCUUGCUGGAUUGUUGUGUUACCUGAGAGAUUCACCCUGUCCCCCUGGAUUACCGGUCUUCCCAGUCAGUCUGCACGGUUGUCUGGAUUUACCCCCACCUUCUCUUACCUGCCAGCUCCCACAACUUCUCCCUCCUCAAUGGAACCUGGACCUAUCCCCGACCCCCUCCUCUGCUCAUUCAUUCCUAUCUGUUUGCUAUUUUCCAAAUAAACCUCUAAACACCAUCA